rnacentral:rRNA from 1 species
GUAGGUGGCAAGCGUUGUCCGGAAUUAUUGGGCGUAAAGCGCGCGCAGGCGGUUCUUUAAGUCUGAUGUGAAAGCCCACGGCUCAACCGUGGAGGGUCAUUGGAAACUGGAGAACUUGAGUACAGAAGGGGAAAGCGGAAUUCCACGUGUAGCGGUGAAAUGCGUAGAGAUGUGGAGGAACACCAGUGGCGAAGGCGGCUUUCUGGUCUGUAACUGACGCUGAGGCGCGAAAGCGUGGGGAGCAAACAGGGAUUAGAUACCCUGGUAGUCCACGCCGUAAACGAUGAGUGCUAAGUGUUAGGGGGUUUCCCGCCCCUUAGUGCUGCAGCUAACGCAUUAAGCACUCCGCCUGGGGAUACGGCCACAAGGCUG